GACGAUGUCGUUUUGAGUAAUACACUCUGCUGCCUGGGCCACCUCCCUAGUCUCAACACAACACUGUCACUACACAAUCCACCCUCUCUCUCAGACGACUUCACGGACAAUUUUCCCGCCAAUUCUCCGCGGUUGAUGUUCUCGCUUUGGUCAUGCCGCCACACCUCAAUCCUCGUCUCUCUCUCUGUUAACGUCGCCGGGAAACUCCACCUCCGCUCCUCUCUCUCCAUCUCCUCUAAGCAUUUCUUGAAUUUCACCAAGCUGAACCCUAGUGUACGAACAAUGUCCGGCUCUUCGCGUUCAGCCUUUGACGUUCUCAUGGCCAAUGCUUCCAAGAAAAAGGAACCGUCUCAGUCGCAAUCGGCGAAGCCAAAAGGAUCAUCACCCCGAAAACGCAAAAGCCCAUCUAAAUCCCAAACCGCUAAUUUACUUCCACAGAAUGGCGAUACCCCAGCACCCAGCUCUGAACAUCCAGAAAUUGUCCAGAACUCGAGCUCGUGUGGAAUUGGAGAUGCGCAAGUGGAGAAUCCAGUGAAUACGGGGUUGAAAGAUUCGGGUUUAAAGCAAAGUAAGACUGGCAAUGCGGAUGCGGAUAAAGGCUUGGUGGCGGCGAAGAAGCCGAAGGUGUCAAUUAGCCCGGACGAGAGCGUAUUGGAGUUGAAGAAAAAGGCGGCAGAGUUCAAAGUGAAGAGGGCGGCGUAUUGGGGCGAGGGAAAGCGAGUGCCCUUCAUGUUUGUGGCAAAGGCGUUGGAUGCUGUAUCGAAGGAGUCAGGUAGGAUAGUUAUCACAGGGAUUGUGUGUAAUAUGCUGAGGACAGUGAUGGAGACGGCGCCCGAUGAUCUGUUGGCGGUUAUGUACCUUUUGGUGAAUAGGAUCGCACCUGCGCAUGAGGGUUUGGAGCUUGGUAUUGGGGAAUCUUCGAUUAUCAAGGCCCUUGCGGAGGCUUGUGGAGCUAAAGAAGCACAUAUUAAGAAGCAAUACGAGGAACUUGGUGAUUUAGGACUUGUAGCAAAAGCCAGUCGUUCGUCGCAGCCUUUGCUACGUAAACCAGAACCAUUAACUGUUGCAAAAGUCUUUGACACAUUCCGGCUGAUUGCCAAGGAAUCUGGGAAAGAUAGUCAAGAGAAGAAAAAGAAUCACAUAAAGGCACUACUAGUUGCAGCAACUGAUUGUGAACCUCAAUAUUUGAUUCGUUUGCUCCAGACAAAAUUGCGUAUCGGCUUGGCAGAACAAACUCUGUUGGCUGCACUAGGGCAUGCUGCUGUAUAUUCUGAGAAGCAUUCAACUCCUGCGAAGGCUGAUAAUUCUCUAGAAGAAGCUGCAAAAAUUGUCAAACAAGUUUAUUCUGUAAUUCCAGUUUACGAUGCGAUAAUUCCAGCUCUUCUUUCUGGUGGCGUGUGGGAUCUCCCCAAGACAUGUAAAUUUUCCCCUGGUAUUCCCGUUGGACCCAUGCUAGCUAAACCUACAAAAGGAGUGUCUGAAAUUGUGGAAAAGUUUCAAGGUGUGGAAUACACCUGUGAAUACAAGUAUGAUGGAGAACGUGCCCAGAUACACUUUAUGGAGAAUGGCGCAGUAGAGAUAUACAGUAGAAAUGCAGAGCGCAAUACUGGAAAAUUCCCAGAUGUUGUUGCCGCUAUCACUAGAUUAAAAAAGCCUUCUGCUACAUCAUUUGUUCUUGACUGCGAACUUGUUGCAUACGAUCGUGAGAAACAGAAAAUUCUACCUUUCCAGAUACUUAGUACACGUGCUCGGAAAAAUGUUAUCAUGGACGAAAUCAAAGUCAGUGUUUGCAUAUAUGCUUUCGACAUGCUCUAUCUUAAUGGCCAACUACUCCUGCAGGAGCAACUGAAUGUUCGUAGAGAGCAUCUUUACAAAUCAUUUCAAGAAGAACCUGGUUAUUUUCAGUUUGCCACUGCUAUAACAUCAGAUGAUCUUGAGGAAAUACAAAAGUUUCUAGAUGAUGCUGUUAAUUCUAGCUCUGAGGGGUUGAUCAUCAAAACAUUGAAGAAAGAUGCUACUUAUGAACCUUCAAAAAGGUCGAAUAACUGGCUAAAAUUGAAAAAAGACUACAUGGACACUAUUGGGGAUUCACUAGAUUUGGUCCCCAUAGCUGCAUUCCAUGGCAGGGGGAAACGUACUGGUGUCUAUGGUGCCUUUCUCCUUGCUUGUUAUGAUAAUGACAAAGAAGAAUUCCAAAGCAUAUGUAAAAUUGGAACUGGAUUUUCUGAAGCUAUGCUCGAAGAACGUUCUUCCAGUCUUCGCUCGAAAGUUAUUGAUAAGCCAAAGUCAUAUUACAGGUAUUCAGAUACAGUUAGUCCGGAUGUAUGGUUUGAACCUAGUGAGGUUUGGGAGGUCAAAGCAGCUGAUCUUACCAUUAGCCCUGUUCAUCGUGCUGCCGUUGGCACCAUAGAUCCUGACAAGGGAAUUUCUCUGAGGUUUCCACGAUUACUUCGUGUCCGAGAAGAUAAGAAUCCAGAACAGGCCUCCUCAUCUGAUAUGGUUGCUGAUAUGUACAACGCACAGAAGCACACUCAGAAAGACAACCAAGAUGAAAAUGAGGAUGUCUGAGAUUGGAAAAGCGAAUGUCUUUCAUUAAUUUCUGGAAGUGUUGUCGCUGUAACUAAUGGAUGUUCAUUAUUGAGAAAAAUACCAACGUAGAGGAAGUAGUUCGUGCUCAAGAUUCAGGAGUUGGGCAUUAGAUUGGUAAGAUUUGCAAUGAUGGAAUACGCUUUGAAUGUGUAUUGUCUUGACACUAGCUUCCUGUUUUACCGGUUUCAAUUUUACUGUCGAAAUCCAUGUCCAGUUUUACAAUCAACUGCUGGAGGGUGAGAGCUAGCAAUUUCCCAUUUUAGUAUAAAGGAAAAUAUUAUCUCCAUGCCAUAUGGAAUGCACUUGCAUGUUGUAUAAUAGCUGUAGCAGUGUCGUGUGGAAUAUGCAGUUAGACAUUUAGGGUUGGAGCAAAUGGGGUGUAUAGAUAUUGUUGAAAAUAAAAUGUGUUGAGGGGGGCAAGGAACGUGAUUCUUGCAUUCAGUUUC